rnacentral:rRNA from 2 species
AGCAGCCGCGGUAAUUCCAGCUCCAAUAGCGUAUAUUAAAGUUGUUGCAGUUAAAAAGCUCGUAGUUGAAUUUCGGGAUCAAGGAAUCGGUCAUGCCUUGGUAUGUACUGGUUUUAUUGGUUCUCACCUUCUAAAGAACCAUAAUGUCAUUUAUUUGAUGUUAUGGGGAAUUAGGACUGUUACCUUGAAAAAAUUAGAGUGUUUAAAGCAAGCUUACGCUUGAAUACAUUAGCAUGGAAUAAUGAAAUAGGACAUCAGAUUCUAUUUUGUUGGUUUCUAGGAUCGAUGUAAUGAUUAAUAGGGAUAGUUGGGGGCAUUAGUAUUCAAUUGUCAGAGGUGAAAUUCUUGGAUUUAUUGAAGACUAACUACUGCGAAAGCAUUUGCCAAGGAUGUUUUCAUUAAUCAAGAACGAAAGUUAGGGGAUCGAAGACGAUCAGAUACCGUCGUAGU